rnacentral:rRNA from 1 species
CUAGGGUGGCAGCAGUGGGGAAUAUUGGACAAUGGGCGAAAGCCUGAUCCAGCCAUGCCGCGUGUGUGAAGAAGGCCUUCGGGUUGUAAAGCACUUUCAGUGGGGAAGAAAGCCUUGGGGCUAAUACCCUCGAGGAAGGACAUCACCCACAGAAGAAGCACCGGCUAACUCCGUGCCAGCAGCCGCGGUAAUACGGAGGGUGCGAGCGUUAAUCGGAAUUACUGGGCGUAAAGCGCGCGUAGGCGGUCUGAUAAGCCGGUUGUGAAAGCCCCGGGCUCAACCUGGGAACGGCAUCCGGAACUGUCAGGCUAGAGUGCAGGAGAGGAAGGUAGAAUUCCCGGUGUAGCGGUGAAAUGCGUAGAGAUCGGGAGGAAUACCAGUGGCGAAGGCGGCCUUCUGGACUGACACUGACGCUGAGGUGCGAAAGCGUGGGUAGCAAACAGGAUUAGAUACCCCUGUAGUC